rnacentral:snoRNA from 1 species
CCCCUGGAGGCAUUGCACCAUGUCUGCUGUGUCACAUGUGUGUUACUAGGUUAGAGAUAGGAGAAAGGCUAUGUCUGUGCUCAGCGUUCUGACAGGUGAACGUCUGAAUGAUUAAUAACCUGAGCUA